rnacentral:tRNA from 6 species
GCUGCUUUAGCUCAGUUGGCAGAGCGCAACCAUGGUAAGGUUGAGGUCGUCGGUUCAAUCCCGAUAAGCAGCU